UACGUAGGUGGCAAGCGUUGUCCGGAAUUACUGGGCGUAAAGGGUGCGUAGGCGGUUCAUUAAGUGGGAUGUGAAAUACCCGGGCUUAACCUGGGAACUGCAUUCCAAACUGGUGAGCUAGAGUGCAGGAGAGGAAAGUGGAAUUCCCAGUGUAGCGGUGAAAUGCGUAGAGAUUGGGAGGAACACCAGUGGCGAAGGCGACUUUCUGGACUGUAACUGACGCUGAUGCACGAAAGUGUGGGGAG
rnacentral:rRNA from 1 species